AAGCCCGAUGCUGAGCGCCAGACAGACGAAGAGAAGGAGGAGCUGAAGAAACCCAAAAAGGAGGACAGCAGCCCCAAGGAGGAGACCGACAAGUGGGCAGUGGAGAAGGGCAAGGACCACAAAGAGCCCCGAAAGGGCGAGGAGUUGGAGGAGGAGUGGACGCCUACGGAGAAAGUCAGGCCAUUGUGCAGACGGUCCCCAUCUGGAUGACAUCUGUGGCUGCGCCCUGGGGGAGCUCUACCUGUGAUUUCACGUGUGUCCCCUGAGAGCUGGGCAUGGUCAGCCCGUUCUCCAGAUGGGGCAGCUGAGGCCCAGGGAGGGGAAGCACAGGCUGGGAUUGGAAACAGCUCCUGGCCUGGCUUUGAGUCGAUUCCAGGUGGGCUGGUGCAGGGCACCAGGGAGCCACCAGCUGACCAGAGCUGCCCUCUGACUGUGCCCCCGAUGUGCCGGGAGUGGGCUCUGGGCUCCUUGGUUCUGGGUUUGGUGGAGGGAAGGAUGGAGCUAGUGAGCCACCAUUCUGGGGUACGCGUCCUCAGAGUGUCCCCCCAUUGGGAUGGAGUCACACCGUAUUGAGGACAACCAGAUCCGAGCCUCCUCCAUGCUGCGCCACGGCCUGGGGGCACAGCGCGGCCGGCUCAACAUGCAGACCGGUGCCACUGAGGACG
rnacentral:lncRNA from 10 species